rnacentral:rRNA from 1 species
GACGAACGCUGGCGGCGUGCUUAACACAUGCAAGUCGAACGGAAAGGCCUUUUCGGAGGUACUCGAGUGGCGAACGGGUGAGUAACACGUGGGUGAUCUGCCCUGCACUCUGGGAUAAGCCUGGGAAACUGGGUCUAAUACCGGAUAGGACCGCACUUUAGUGUGUGUGGUGGAAAGUUUUUUCGGUGUAGGAUGAGCCCGCGGCCUAUCAGCUUGUUGGUGGGGUAAUGGCCUACCAAGGCGGCGACGGGUAGCCGGACUGAGAGGUUGGUCGGCCACAUUGGGGCUGAGGUACAGACCAGACCCCAGCGGGAGGCAGCAGUGGGGGAUAGGGAACAACGGGCGCAAGCCUGAAGCCGCGACGCCGCGGGGGGGAUGAUGUGCUUAGGGUUAAAAAGAGAAUACGCCAGGGACAAAGCGGUGUGGGAAGGUACCUGGAGAAGAAGAACAGGACAACUACGUG